rnacentral:rRNA from 1 species
ACAGAGGUGGCAAGCGUUGUUCGGAAUUACUGGGCGUAAAGGGCGCGUAGGCGGUCUUGCAAGUCCCGUGUGAAAUCCCUCGGCUCAACUGAGGAACUGCACGGGAAACUGCUUGGCUUGAGUUCGGGAGAGGGAAGCGGAAUUCCGGGUGUAGCGGUGAAAUGCGUAGAUAUCCGGAGGAACACCGGUGGGGAAGGCGCCCACCUGGCCUGCUACUGACGCUGAAGCUCGAAAGCUAGGGGAGCAAACGGGA